rnacentral:rRNA from 1 species
GAUGAACGCUGGCGGCGUGCCUAAUACAUGCAAGUCGAGCGAACGGACGAGAAGCUUGCUUCUCUGAUGUUAGCGGCGGACGGGUGAGUAACACGUGGAUAACCUACCUAUAAGACUGGGAUAACUUCGGGAAACCGGCGCUAAUACCGGAUAAUAUUUUGAACCGCAUGGUUCAAAAGUAAAAGACGGUCUUGCUGUCACUUAUAGAUGGAUCCGCGCUGCAUUAGCUAGUUGGUAAGGUAACGGCUUACCAAUGCAACGAUGCAUAGCCGACCUGAGAGGGUGAUAGGCCACACUGGAACUGAGACACGGUCCAGACUCCUACGGGAGGCAGCAGUAGGGAAUCUUCCGCAAUGGGCGAAAGCCUGACGGAGCAACGCCGCGUGAGUGAUGAAGGUCUUCGGAUCGUAAAGCUCUGUUAUUAGGGAAGAACAUAUGUGUAAGUAACUGUGCACAUCUUGACGGUACCUAAUCAGAAAGCCACGGCUAACUACGUG